rnacentral:lncRNA from 1 species
CACCUCCACUCUAUCUCUCUCAAUCUAGAAGAACUAAUUCUAAUCUCACAUUGGAUCCUACGCACUAUGAGGUUGGAACCCUAGAGGGACCUCUCUCUCUAUGAAUCCUCUCUAGAAAAUAUGCUAAUGAAUAAUGGGAUUACCCUCCUCCAGGGGCUUGGGGGCCUACUUAUAUUUCCCCUCCAAAUGAACGUGGGCCGUCGUAUCAAACCGACCUCAAUCGCACGGUUUUCCUUAAUCCUUUAGGUCGGUGGAGCAUAAUCCGCGAGGCGAAGCCUGAUUGGCUCAGACACCUGGGCGGGCGCCCUGCCCCCGGGCCCGCUUGGCCUCCCGUUCGUUCUCGUGGCUUCUGGAGUCUUCUAGAUGAUAGAAAAUUGCGCGGCACGUUAAUAUCUCUAUGUAAACCCGACUUGUGGGCCUUUCCUCCAUAUUUCCUGAUAACCCCCUACAGAAAUAGACAAACACCAAAACCCGUGGAGUUCUAUCAGAUAAAACCCUAAGUCUAGGUGUUGGAUGCAUUUGGAUCAUUUUUGGUACUUAAGGACCGUCAAUAAUAAGCAAGGGAAGGCGUAGGGAUUGUUGACAAAGAUGAUGACGGUGUGCCGAUCAACCAGGCUGGAUACGUUAAUAUUUUCCAUAGAUUUUAGAGUCCGUUUUGUAUACGAAUUCCAUUAAAUUUGGAAUUAGAGUCCUAGUCGUGUCUGGUUGUAAUUCUUUUGGACAGGGUAUAAAUGUAGACCCCAUGGCUAUGUAAGAAUGACAACACAAUCAAUCAAACACAAGUCUUUUACAUCUAUUGCAGCAUCUACUUUUUGACGACUUCGUCAACUGCAUAUUUUUCCUUUUACUUACAAGUUCGUAGGAAUUCAUCGGGUCAAACUCAGCGAGUUCUUGAGUUCUGCGUGAAUACCUCUUGACUGUGGCAUCCGGGCGUAUCGCUGUUGUCAGGACCAAAGUAUUCGAGUUAUCACCUUUGUCGAUGUAAGGUCAAAUCGACUGGCAUGCCUUAGUAUCAAAUCGGGUAUUAGCCCUUUGUGUUUGUAGAUCUACUUUUUGCAUCAACAGUUGCUUUGCUUUAAUUCCUUUACAGUACCUGGUAUUCAACCUAGAGUUCUCCUGAGUUUUAGAUAUUAUUGUUCUAAUAUGAGAGUUUACCUUGAAUCUAAAACUUGUGGGUAGCAACUGCUUCUGGGUUGAUUGACGGGUAUGAUUUAUUUUGCAAAAACCCUAAAACCCUACAUGAUUAGUUUGUGUAUGAUGAGUGUUUAAAAUUCCUACCACAACCAUACAUGCAUGCUUGAUAGAUCAGGAAAACCAAAUACUUUUCAAUUUGUCUAUUAGGCAUGGUGGUCAACCUAUGUUGACCCUUAGGAACUUGUCAUGCAGCUAAAAUCAAGAAUUUACACUCCACUCAUCCACGCUGCUUCUACCCUAGAAGUACGCAUCCAUAUAUUUUCCAUUUAGAUCCACCCAAAAUUGUUAUACUCCUAUCCCGGGAGAGAGCAACCAAAAAUAUUUCCUUCAUCCACUGCACUUCCUGCCACCUCAUCACUAUAAGCUCCAAGUGUUUAUGUUUGCUUCAGUUCAAAAAGAGGCUUGGGCCAUAAAAAGAAAAAAUAGAAAAAAAUAAAAGAAGAAAAAAAAAAGAAAAAAAGAGAGAAAGAGUAGCCGAAGUUCUCCCUGGUAUUAUAAGUUCUCCCCAGUAUUCAAUAUCUUCAAGUUUUUAGGGAGACAAGUUCUUCAAGGAGCAACAUUAAUGUUGAGUUGUCACCAUUUUUUACCCCUCAUCCAUUUUUCCACCACACACAUUCACUCCACAUAUAUAGGUCCACACACAUGCACUCUUGAUUUGGUUGUAUGCCAAGUUCCUCUAGAUCCAUGGUUUGAUUGUGCAACACUGCAUAGUAUGAGAGAUCUCACCUAUAAACCCUAGAUAUGCCUAUUAGUUAUCUUUAGAAAACUCUAAGAGGAAAGUUGAUCAAAGAGUUUGAAAUAGUGCUUGACUAACCUGUUAUAUCUUUCAACUUCCUAAGACCCAGGAAGAAGUAAUAAGAUCCAUGGUUGAUGGUAAUAUAGGCAAGUUCAAAGGUUGGAACAGUUUGACCAUUGUUUGGUUGAGAUUCCUAUUUGAAUACUUGUGUGAAUUAAAGGUGUGAAGGCAUUGUAGCAACUCCUGAUCCAUUGUUGAGAUUGGCUUUGCUCAGGGACUACCAAAGGCUAAGCUUGGGGGAACUUGUUGACACUCCUUAACUUCAAUAUUAUACCAUCAAUUAAUGCGCAAUAUAAUAGAAAAAUGUCAUUAGUGCAUAGUUGGAGGGUUUGAAACUAACAAGUUCAACGAGUUUUGGUGUUCUCACUUGUUUUGUAGGAGAUUUAAUUUUCCAUUGAAUAAACUACCUCAAAUGAUGAAUCAAAGGACACCAUUGCGAAUGACUCGUCGCACUGAUCGAAACUGAUAUAUUAUUCGCUAUAUUUGGAGCAUGGAAUAAAAAUAUAUUAAUAAAGGAAAAAGGCCUCCAUCAUAGAGCUGUGGGAUUAAUUGGGCCUAAAUCAGAAUUUGGCCCAAUAAGGCCUAGGUGCAUUUUAAUGAGAUAUGGUGGAAAAGUUUAGUACCACAUUGCCAAUUCAAGGGAGCCCGAAGGCCAGGCGCCCUCAUAUAAGGAGCCCAGGGGCGCCCCCUCAAGCAAUCAUCCAUCUCAUCAAUCCACCAUCAUCAACAUCAAGAGGCAGGAUUAGGGUUAGGGUACGAGAGGUGUCCCUCGAUUGGAUGACCAUGCUACCCCUAGGUUAGAAUUGAUCUAGUCUUCUAGAUAGUAGAGAGAUGGAGAGCGAGGGAGGAAUUCAGAGGAGGUGCUGGUCUGUCGGCGUGUCUUCAUCAACUGGUAAUUCGGUGGGAUUGGGCUCAGGCUUCGGUCAUCAGCUUCUAGUUCAAGUAAGGUCCAUGUUGUAUAUUAUUCUUCUGGUCACGAGUUUCUUUUGAGUACUUUAAUCUAUGCACAUAGGUUAGACUAUAAUCGUAGUGUAAGCGUGGUGCUUAGACUAGGGUUACUCGUAGAUGCAUCCUACAUUCUGGAUCGAUGGUAGAUCGUGAAGGUGACUAGUAUAGCUUUGUUGAGUCUUCUAUAGCCCACCUCCCAUUUGUAGGCCUAGCAGGUGCCCCUUUGUUAUGUGGUAGAUUUGUACUCUGUUUGCGGUCUUCCAUAGUAAUGCCCUAGAUGAAUAGUAUAAGCUUAGUGUAGACCUACCCAAGUUAGAGUAGAAACCCCGAUUAAGUUAUCUUCUCUAUUUUCCUUCUAUCACCCCAUACUAGAUUAAUUUUCCCCUAGGUUCCAUUCUUGUUUCCACCAUAGAUUUAGUCCC